AUUGAACGCUGGCGGCAGGCCUAACACAUGCAAGUCGAGCGAGCGGCGGACGGGUGAGUAAUGUCUGGGAAUCUGCCCGAUAGAGGGGGAUAACUACUGGAAACGGUGGCUAAUACCGCAUACUAUCGGAUGUGCCCAUAUGGGAUUAGCUGGUAGGUGAGGUAACGGCUUACCUAGGCGACGAUCCCUAGCUGGUCUGAGAGGAUGACCAGCCACACUGGGACUGAGACACGGUCCAGACUCCUACGGGAGGCAGCAGUGGGGAAUAUUGCACAAUGGGCGCAAGCCUGAUACAGCCAUGCCGCGUGUAUGAAGAAGGCCUUCGGGUUGUAAAGCACUUUCAGCGGGGAGGCGUUACCCGCAGAAGAAGCACCGGCUAACUCCGUGCCAGCAGCCGCGGUAAUUC
rnacentral:rRNA from 1 species